GGACUACCCGGGUUUCUAAUCCUGUUUGCUCCCCACGCUUUCGCGCCUCAGCGUCAGUUAUAGGCCAAAGAGUCGCCUUCGCCACUGGUGUUCCUCCACAUCUCUACGCAUUUCACCGCUACACGUGGAAUUCCACUCUUCUCUCCUAUACUCAAGUCUCCCAGUUUCCAAUGGCCCUCCCCGGUUGAGCCGGGGGCUUUCACAUCAGACUUAAGAGACCGCCUGCGCGCGCUUUACGCCCAAUAAUUCCGGACAACGCUUGCCACCUACGUAUUACCGCGGCUGCUGGCAC
rnacentral:misc_RNA from 1 species